GCCAGACUCCUACGGGAGGCAGCAGUGGGGAAUAUUGCACAAUGGGGGAAACCCUGAUGCAGCGACGCCGCGUGAGUGAAGAAGUAUUUCGGUGUGUAAAGCUCUCUCAGCAGGGAAGAAGAAGGACGGUACCUGAGUAAGAAGCCCCGGCUAACUACGUGCCAGCAGCCGCGGUAAUACGUAGGGGGCAAGCGUUAUCCGGAUUUACUGGGUGUAAAGGGAGCGUAGACGGCAGCGCAAGUCUGAAGUGAAAUGCCAGGGCUUAACCCUGGAACUGCUUUGGAAACUGUGCAGCUAGAGUGCAGGAGAGGUAAGUGGAAUUUCUAGUGUAGCGGUGAAAUGCGUAGAUAUUAGGAGGAACACCAGUGGCGAAGGCGGCUUACUGGACUGUAACUGACGUUGAGGCUCGAAAGCGUGGGGAGCAAACAGGAUUAGAUACCCGUGUA
rnacentral:rRNA from 1 species